rnacentral:tRNA from 1 species
UAAUUUUUUAGUAUAAUUAGUACGCUUGGCUUCCAACCAAAAAGUCUAGGAUCCCUAGAAAAAUUAA